UUCAAUCUUUACUUGGGUUUCUUUUGAGAGACCAAACAUACAAGCAGGCAGGAACCAUGGGGAGAGGUUCAUAGGGCUGAUAAUCCAAGUAAAAUUAUAACCUAGAAAGCAUACUGAUUAGCUUCAUGUCUCCAGCUUUGGUGAACUCAGUUCCACAGUGAUACAUCUACUCAUCUUGCCAUUACAACCACCUUUUGAAUAAAGGUAACAUAACAAAAGCUUCUAACAUGAACAGGAUCUCUGUAUAACAAAAUUUCAG
rnacentral:misc_RNA from 1 species